UAUAGACAUGCUCUGUAAUGGGAUGGGAUCCGAAGCCCUCCGAGUGAUAAUACAGGCUCUCCCAUCCAACUCCUAUUCCGACAAGUCCUCGUCGUGCAGAGUGGUAACAUGUACCUCCAUAUAUCCUAGCUUGGGUACACGGGCAAGAUCCAACCCCUUCGGCGGAUGGUAGGAUAUGGCGAAACAGAAGAGG
rnacentral:ribozyme from 1 species